UUUAAUUAUCCGCCUCUCUCACGAGUCACGAGGGAUGCCCGCUCGCUGUCCCAAAGUCACACAUUCGUUCUGUACUCUCUGUCUGUCUCUCUCCCCUCGUUCCUACUCGCUCCUCGCCCUGUGCCCUCUUUCGCGCACAAUCAGAUGCCCUCGUCCGCCUGUGCCCUCUCUCGCAGGUUGAUAACUUCGCCCUCUCGCCCCUCGCCCUGUGCCUCUCUCUCAACGGUCAGAUGCACUAGCCACUCGCCCCUUGCCCUGCGAUCCCUUACAGCGCCAAACAUUGAAUGCACAACAGAAGAAGACGCCUCGCGAGGAAGAACACCAGGUCGGCAUCGUUCGGCUGCAUCAAACGAAUCAUUGGUUCUUCAUCGUUGAAACCCCACAACGUUGCCCUAAUUCCCAUUUCGUUUGAGGUAUUUCCCCACCGUAGGAAUGUUGUCAACAAAAUUUUAGAGUUGCAGCUCUGCCAGUUCCAAUGUUGCGAGGAAGUUGGACAUGUCUGCAAGGACAGACAUUUUCUUUGUCCAUCAUGGAGAAUUUGCCUUGUUAAUUUGCAUCCAUUCGGCUUCAGAGCGUUCCUAUCCUCAUCUUGAUUCUGCUGCAAACUUUUGUGAAGUUUUCACGAGUCUAUGUGGAAAUCACUUGCACAUUAAGGACGUAGGCAUCCAUGGAAGACUUGCAAACUGGGAAGACGAUUGGUAGAGGCUAUGAGAAAGGGGGCAUCAACUUCCUGUCUAAUUCUGUGGGUAUUGCAGCCAUCUCGACUUCUUCAUUGUCCUCCUCCUUCCAGUGGCAUCUCAGACUUGGUCAUCCAUCUGUCUCCAAGCUCCGUCACCUACUUCCCCAUCUAUCAAUACUAGAGUUGUUCUAGUGUGACACCUGUCAACUUGGCAAGCACACCCGUAGCAGUUAUUCAUCGAAUCUUAGUCUGUCCAGUUGUAGACUAUUUGAUUUUCUUCAUGUUGAUGUGUGGGGUCCUAGCAGAGUUGCUAGUAGGUCUAGAUUUUGUUAUUUUCUUGUCAUUGUUGAUAAUUAUUCUCGAGUCACUUGAGUUUUUCUGUUGAAAGAAAGGUCUGAAGUCAUAUGUACUCUCAAGAACCUUAUUAUUGAAAUAAAGGCCAGUUUGGUAUUCUUGUUAAAAGCAUUCGCACUGAUAAGGCUCUUGAGUUUAAGGAAUGUACGUUAAUGAAAUUUUACUCUGAUAAUGACAUUUCUCCUGAAUUUACUUGUCCCCAUACCUCCCAAGAAAAUGGAGUAGCUGAGCGGAAACAUCGCCAACUUUUAAAUGUGGCAUGCUCCCUAAUGCUUCAUACUAAUUUACCUGCAUAUUUUUUGAGAGAUGUCAUCCUCACUGCUUGUUACUUGACCAACCGUUUACUCUCAUCCUCCAUUGACAAUAAGGUUCCCAUUAAACUUGUGCACCCACAAUAACACUUAUUUCUAGUAGCUCCCAAAGUAUUUGGUUGCACAUGUUUCAUUCACAUACUUGGACCCACACGUGAUAAAUUGGGUGCCCAAGCCAUUAAGUAUAUCUCUAUUGGCUACUCCAAAAAUCACAAAGGUUACAAAUGCUUUGACCCCUUGACUCACAAGGAGUAUAUCAGUGCGGAUGUGACAUUCUUUGAGUCUCAGCCUUAUUAUAGUUCCUCACCUACCUCUACUGAGAUGCCAUUGUCAUCUGAACCACUACCUAUUCCUUUGGAAUCAUUCCCUUACAAGUCUCCUUCUGGGGAUUCUCCCGCUGUAGUGUCCAAGUUUUGUAAUCCUCCGCUGGUCUACACACGUCGACAUGACCCUUCCUCAACCGUUUCUCAAGAUGUAAGUACAUCUGAAGUGAGUAUACAUAGUCCAUCUGAACCCUAUCAAGACUUACCUAUUUCUCUUCACAAAGGCAAGUGACAAUGUACUCUGCAUCUUAUAUCUCAAUUUGUUUCUACUAACGGUGUUGGUAAAAGUAUGCAACAGUUUAUUCAAGCUCUGGCUGCUCAUGCAGUUCCUACUUGUCACCAACAGACCUUAUUAGAUACCCAAUGGAGACAAGUUAUGCAAGAUGAGAUGGAUGCAUUAGUUCAGCGAGACACUUGGGAACUUGUUGAUCCUCCUCCUGAUUGUGACAUUGUUGGCUCUAAGUGGGUAUUCAUAGUGAAAUAUAAUUCUGAUGGUUCUAUGAAAAGAUACAAAGCUCGUUUGGUUGCUAAGGGCUAUAGGCAAACUUACGAGGUUGAUUUCUUCGAGACUUUUUCUCCUGUUGCUCGGUUGGGGACCAUUCAUCUUAUCAUCUUUGUGGCUGUACACCAUGAUUGACACAUGUAUCAGCUUGAUGUUAAAAAUGCAUUUCUGUACGGUGAUCUUGGUGAGACUAUCUAUAUGCAACAACCGUCAGGGUUUCAACGAUAGGAAGAGCGCGGAAAAGUGUGCAAACUGAAGAAAGCUAUUUAUGGACUCAAGCAGAGUCUUCGUGCAUGGUUUCACAAGUUCUCUGAGGUAGUCUCAAAGUGUAGCUUUGCGAGAUCCCCUCUUGAUCAUUCUCUAUUUAUCAAGAAGAAUUCCAGGGGUAUGACCGUUCUAGUGGUUUAUGUUGAUGAUAUUAUCAUGACAAGUGACUCCGAUCAAGAAAUUUCUGAUACAAAGUUGUUUCUUCAAAAACACUUUGUGACGAAAGAUCUUGGUCAACUACGAUAUUUAUUGGGAAUAAAGGUUGCUCGUAACAGGGAAGGUGUAGUUCUCUCAAAACGGAAGUAUGUUCUUGAUUUAUUGCAGGACACCGGGAUGCUAGGAGUUAAACCAGUCAAUCUACCUAUGAAUCCAUGCAUACAUCUUCAUGAUGACCAAUUAGAAUUAGUGGAUUCUCGAUCAUACAUAUCUCUUUGUUACUAUGACCAGACCAGACAUUAGCUUUGCAGUGAGGAAACUAAGUCAAUUUACAGAAAGACCCAGGAAAGUUCAUUGGGAUGUUGCUUUAAUGGUGGUCAAAUAUCUGAAAUCAUCUCUUGGCAAAGGACUUUUAUUCACAAAAGGCAAGACCCUGGAAGUGGAAGCCUAUAGUGAUGCUAACUAUGCUAGCUCAGUCGAAGACAGGAAAUCUACCACAAAGUUCUGUGUAUUUGUGGGAGACAACGGAGAAGCAAAAAUCAAGGUAUGAAAAUUUCUUUGCUCCACCGUUCUAAAACACCAUCCAUGAAUGAGGCUAUUGCUAAACUUCAAAUAGAAGAAAAUCGACUUUGUCUUGAUAGAGAAAAAACAAACAUUGUUCUUGCCAUUUUGUCACAAUAUAAAUAAUACAAAUGAUUGAACAAGGCCGAUUAUUCAAAAAGACGAUUGGAGAAGGUUUUAGAAUAAAUGAUUUCUAUUACAUAGAAUUUUUGGACCUUUCAAGACCCUCAUACCAUAUCAUCAAAGAAUGUGACAUUCAAACUUGGCAUCAAAGACUUGACAUUCAAAUCUAGAAAAAAUGUCUUAUCUUCUCUUCUUGAAAAAACAUUGUCAAAAAACUUUUAUUGUAAUGAGUGUAACAAGGCAAAAAUGAAAGUCUUACCUUUUGAUAAUAGAAAAUUUGUUGCUCAAGUGCCUUUUGAAUUUGUGCAUUCAGAUGUAUGGGGACCGGCUCCUAAUAUGUCUAAAGGUGGAUUAUUGUAUUGUUUGACCUUUAUUGAUUAUUUCUCUAGACAUAUUUGGGUUUAUUUUCUCAAACACAAAUCAGAGGUAUUUGCAACCUUCAAAAAUUUCAAUAACAUGAUCAAAACCCAAUUCGACUCCAACAUUAAAAUCUUUAGAAGUUAUUCAGGAAGAGAAUUUAUUUCAAAUGAAUUUCAACAAUUUCUAAAAGAUAAAGGCAUUGUAUGUAAAAAAUCUUGCCCAAACACUCCACAACAAAAUGGAGUGGCUGAACGAAAACAUAGACACAUUAUAAAAACCACAAGAGCUCUUCUUCUAUUCAAAAAUGUUUCCAAAAACUUUUGGGCUGAGGCUGUUUUGACAUCAACAUAUUUGAUUAAUAGAAUGCCUACCAAACUUUUGAAACAUAUUUCUCCAUUUGAAAAAUUACACAAUAUUAGACCAAAUUACAAUAGACUUAAGGUUUUUCGCUGCAAAUGUUUUGUCUUAAGUAACAAAGAUGACAAGCUCUCUUCCAAAGCUAUUAAUUGUGUGUUCAUUGGGUAUUCAAAAACACAAAAGGGUUAUAAAUGUUAUGAUAUUGGAAGAGAUAAAAUAUAUGUUACUAGAAAUGUGAUCUUUUUGGAAAAUAAAGAUGGCUUUAAAAAUGAGCCCAAACAACUAGAAGAUUAUGCUUUUCUAUGGACUGAUUAUGAUGAUGAUGAUGAUUCCUAUGGUGAGGAACAAGUUGAAAGAAGAUAGUACUAAUCUCAAUCCUCCAAGAGACAAUAAUGUUUAUAGGAGAAGAUGUCAUGCAACCCAAGAAACUAAUCAAUCCAAUCCUAGAAGUUCCCAAAGACAUAUUAGGCCUCCUCACGAUUUAUAUCAUACGAGUCUUUUUCUCCUAAAUAUCGAGCUUAUUUUAUGGCACAUCACUCAUUUUAUGAGCCAUCAUCUUAUCUUCAGGCUAAAGAAGAUCCAAAUUGGAUUAAAGUCAUUGAAAGCCCUUGAAGGUAAUGAGACUUGGGAUAUUGUUUCUCUACCAAUAGCGAAAAAGACCAUAGGAUGUCAUUGGAUUUAUUAAGUUAAAAUUAGAAGUGAUGGGACACUAGAAAGGUAUAAGGCUAAACUUGUUGCUAAAGGUUAUGCUCAAGAAUAUAAAAUUGAUUAUGAAGAAACUUUUGCUCCUGUUUCCCGUAUGACCUCUGUUAAAACUCUUAUUAUCGUUGUUUCAACUAAACAAUGGUCUAUUUUUCAAAUGAAUGUUGAAAAUGCUUUUCUAAAUGUAAGUUAAAUGAAGAAGUCUUCAUGAGUGCCCCUCCUGGACUUAAUCUACGUUAGGACAAAGUGUUACGACUUAAUAAAGCUCUUUAUGGUUUAAAACAAGUUCCUAAGGCUUGGUUUGACAAAUUUAGUAAUGUUAUGUUUGAUGAAAGUUUUUAAUCUUGCUAUUCAAAUGCUGCCAUGUUUGUGAAAAACACUUUAGUAGGUAUAAUUGUUUUGUUGUUGUAUGUUGAUGAUAUGGUAAUUACUGGCAGUGAUGAUAAAGGAAUCAUAGAGAUAAAACAAUUUCUUAAGAAUUGCUUUCAAAUGACUGAUUUGGAAAGACUAACAUAUUUUCUUGGAAUUGAAGUUGCCUUUAGCAAACGUGGUUAUUUAUUUUCACAAAUGAAGUUUGAUAGUAGAUUAAUUGAUAGAGCAGAUAUUUCAGACAACAAAAUUGUAGAUACUCCAAAAGCUCUAGGAGUCAAAAUGAAGAUUGAUGACAGAGAGAUAUUAGAGAAUCCUACUCCUUAUCUCUCCAGCACCAGACUAGAUAUUGCUCAUGCCGUUCAUAUUAUGAGUCAAUUCCAACAAAAACCCACUUCAGUACACAAGGGAGCAGCAAUGCUAAUUGCGAGUUAUGUGAAAAAAAAAUCAACAAAAGACUUUUCUUGUCUUCAUCCUCUAUAUUAGAAUUAGUUGCUUAUGCAGAUGCUGAUUGGGGUGUAGAUCCCAACAAUAAGCACUCCAACACUAGUUUUUGUGUGUUUUUAGGCAAUUCCUUAAUUUCUUAGCGAUGCAAGAAACAAAAUAAGGUGUCUCUAUCAUCAACAGAAGCUGAAUAUCAAGCCACAACAUCUAUAACAAUAGAAAUUGUGUGGCUCAAAAGUUUGUUGAAAGAUAUGGGAAUUCAUAUCACGGAUUCUGUCAAGUUUUAUUGUGACAACAAAAGUGCAAUCUAUAUUGCUAGCAGUCACACAUUUCACGAAAGAACAAAAAUAUAGAGAUGGUCUGUCAUUAUGUUCGUGAAGAAUUUCUUCAGAAAAUUAUUGCUCACUCCUAUGUUCCAUCUGAAUAUCAACUAGGCGAUUUCUUCACCAAGGCACUUGCUGCUGUUAGGUUUCAAUUUCUUCUUGGCAAACUUUCGGUUAUCACACCAUAAGUUUAAGGGGGAGUAUUAGAAUGUAUGUAUCCCAAUCUAUAUACAUAUCAAUAUGUAUGUAUAUUACAUAUAUUAGUCAUUCAGGUACUGAGGAUACUUAUGUAACUUUUUCUUUGUUUAUGUAUUUUUCCUUUUUCUGCGUUUCCUUUUUACCCUUUUCUUUUUCUGUUUUAUCUAAAGGAGGACUUGGAAUUAGCUGUUGGGCAGCUCCAGUGGCUAGAUUUCUAGCUGUUGGGAGCAAGCAAGAGCUACUCCCUUUUUCUCCGUCCUUUUUUUGUUCUAUAAAUAAGGGACUUGGAACCCUUGUUUGUUAAGGCUUUUAGGCCUCUUCUUUUGUAUCUAUUUGAGAUUAAUAGAGGCAUUCUUCUCCUCAAGUUUGAGGUUUGUUUUGUGUUACUAUUGGAGUUGUUGGGUUCUUCAAGAGUGUAUCUCUUGAAGCUUUUGGAUUGUCAAGUUUUGGGCCAUUUUUACACAUAAACACAAACACAUCAUAUGUGGUAAACUAAUUAUUAGGUAUUUGAUGCCAAAUAAAAGUCUAUAUUUCAAGUUUUACCCUAUUAAGAAAACACAACAAAAAUCUUCAACACUUCAAGACAGAAAAUAAAAGGCAACAACUGAAUCAAAUAAGUCCAAGAUGCAAAUUGCUGGGAGAGUGGGCUCUGAACAACAAAAAAUGAAAAGCAAAGGGAAAAAAGAUUAAAAGAACAAAGCAAAAAAGUUGAGGAUGGACAACAUAGGCUGGAUGAGAGAAGUAUAAUGCAAGUUGCAAGUGGCCGACUGGAAAUGAAGGAAAAAAUGGAACGAAGAAGGAAACAUGCCCGAUGGUUGGGAGAGAGGAGGUUAUGGUCUUUUGUAGGCAAACCAGUCAGUCAAAAUGGCUAAUUGACUUAAAUAUCUCCUCCUCUAACCACUUGAGAUUUGUCUAAAAUCUUUUGGAUUACGAUAUACACUUCCCUUAACUUGCUUCCUCAAGCUAAACAUAGGGUAAACUGCAGUAAGCUUGAUCCGAAGGUCUUUGAUCUUUCUUGAACCAAGCGCCUUUAUCAUUCCAUCUACUAAUUGUUAUUUAGAUUUUACAAAUUGCACUUUGAUAUGACCUUUGGUGUCUAGCAAAAGGGUAGUCUACCUUCACAUGUGUAGUGCAGGUGUGAAAAAACUGGAUUCGCUACAAGAUAUAGCACUCCAAUUUUGUUGUCAUGCCAUAGAAUAGGAGGUGUGGAUGACAAAACAGCAUGAUCUUUCAGAAGUGAUUCAAACAGUUGUUGCACAAGCAAGAGACCGGUCUCAACAAAGACACUUAAUUGUAUAAAUGAGGGAGGAGUGAGUCAGAGGGUGUAGUACUUCCUCAUUUUCCUGGACUUUUAUUGUUUCUGUAGCAUAAAUAUUAUGUAAAUGUUUAAACAUGUAAAUUCACACGUAACCAAUGCAAUGAGUCAUAAGGUGGUUUCAGUCACCAUCAUCAUGGCUCCAAGUUAAGUCACGUGAACGACACUUAAUUAUGCGGAGAUACAUCUCGAACUUAAUCUCAAAUGCAACCCUAUAUCAAUAUUACAUUGUGCUGCAUCUUAGGCUACCGCCAUUUCCUUUAACAGAUGUUGCUUUCACCAAACAAGCUGUUUUAAAACUUUUCCCCCAACUGCUACAAAAGUCCUAAAUUUUUUAUUUCAUUACCCUCACAUCCUGAUAGGUGGCCGUGCUUGGAUGAUGGCUCCAUUUUAAGUUGUUUCCCGGCAUUAACUUGUAUGUAAUGGAAAUAGAAAAAGGAAACCGUCAGGAGUGUUCUAUUUCAGCACCGAUUUUUGCCAAGAAAAAAUUUGUCACUAAAAAUGGGAAAACAGUACGUUCUCUGCUUCCAAUUUUUGCUCUCCAAAUGCUUCAUUCUUCGUCUUCUUAUUUCUUCUCUAUUCAAAUGUGCUUUGGGAG